rnacentral:rRNA from 1 species
CCGUGCUUGCACGGUUGGAUUAGUGGCGAACGGGUGAGUAUCACGUGAGUAACCUUCCCUUAACUCUGGGAUAAGCCCGGGAAACUGGGUCUAAUACCGGAUACGACCAGUCCUCGCAUGGGGUGCUGGUGGAAAGAUUUAUCGGUUUUGGAUGGACUCGCGGCCUAUCAGCUUGUUGGUGAGGUAAUGGCUCACCAAGGCGAUGACGGGUAGCCGGCCUGAGAGGGUGACCGGCCACACUGGGACUGAGACACGGCCCAGACUCCCACGGGAGGCAGCAGUGGGGAAUAUUGCACAAUGGGCGAAAGCCUGAUGCAGCGACGCCGCGUGCGGGAUGACGGCCUUCGGGUUGUAAACCGCUUUCAGCAGGGAAGAAGCGAAAGUGACGGUACCUGCAGAAGAAGCGCCGGCUAACUACGUGCCAGCAGCCGCGGUAAUACGUAGGGCGCGAGCGUUAUCCGGAAUUAUUGGGCGUAAAGAGCUCGUAGGCGGUUUGUCACGUCUGCUGUGAAAGCCCGGGGCUCAACCCCGGGUGUGCAGUGGGUACGGGCAGACUAGAGUGCAGUAGGGGAGACUGGAAUUCCUGGUGUAGCGGUGAAAUGCGCAGAUAUC